CCUACGGGUGGCAGCAGUGAGGAAUAUUGGUCAAUGGACGAGAGUCUGAACCAGCCAAGUAGCGUGAAGGAUGACUGCCCUAUGGGUUGUAAACUUCUUUUGUAAAGGAAUAAAAGGAGGUACGUGUGCCUUUUUGCAUGUAUUUUACGAAUAAGGAUCGGCUAACUCCGUGCCAGCAGCCGCGGUAAUACGGAGGAUUCGAGCGUUAUCCGGAUUUAUUGGGUUUAAAGGGAGCGUAGGUGGGUGGUUAAGUCAGUGGUGAAAUCUCGCGGCUCAACCUGAGAAUUGCAAUUGAUACUGGUCGGCUUGAGAGUAGUUGCGGUAGGCGGAAUUCAUGGUGUAGCGGUGAAAUGCUUAGAUAUCACACAGAACCCCGAUUGCGAAGGCAGCUUACUAAGCUAUGACUGACGUUGAUGCUCGAAAGUGUGGGGAUCAAACAGGAUUAGAUACCCUAGUAGUC
rnacentral:rRNA from 1 species